CGGAUAGCGGCAGCUACCAUGCAGUCGAGCGGUAGCACAGAGAGCUUGCUCUCGGGUGACGAGCGGCGGACGGGUGAGUAAUGUCUGGGAAACUGCCUGAUGGAGGGGGAUAACUACUGGAAACGGUAGCUAAUACCGCAUAACGUCGCAAGACCAAAGAGGGGGACCUUCGGGCCUCUUGCCAUCAGAUGUGCCCAGAUGGGAUUAGCUAGUAGGUGGGGUAACGGCUCACCUAGGCGACGAUCCCUAGCUGGUCUGAGAGGAUGACCAGCCACACUGGAACUGAGACACGGUCCAGACUCCUACGGGAGGCAGCAGUGGGGAAUAUUGCACAAUGGGCGCAAGCCUGAUGCAGCCAUGCCGCGUGUAUGAAGAAGGCCUUCGGGUUGUAAAGUACUUUCAGCGGGGAGGAAGGUGUUGAGGUUAAUAACCUCAGCAAUUGACGUUACCCGCAGAAGAAGCACCGGCUAACUCCGUGCCAGCAGCCGCGGUAAUACGGAGGGUGCAAGCGUUAAUCGGAAUUACUGGGCGUAAAGCGCACGCAGGCGGUCUGUCAAGUCGGAUGUGAAAUCCCCGGGCUCAACCUGGGAACUGCAUUCGAAACUGGCAGGCUAGAGUCUUGUAGAGGGGGGUAGAAUUCCAGGUGUAGCGGUGAAAUGCGUAGAGAUCUGGAGGAAUACCGGUGGCGAAGGCGGCCCCCUGGACAAAGACUGACGCUCAGGUGCGAAAGCGUGGGGAGCAAACAGGAUUAGAUACCCUGGUAGUCCACGCCGUAACGAUGUCGAUUUGGAGGUUGUUCCCUUGAGGAGUGGCUUCCGGAGCUAACGCGUUAAAUCGACCGCCUGGGGAGUACGGCCGCAAGGUUAAAACUCAAAUGAAUUGACGGGGGCCCGCACAAGCGGUGGAGCAUGUGGUUUAAUUCGAUGCAACGCGAAGAACCUUACCUACUCUUGACAUCCAGAGAACUUAGCAGAGAUGCUUUGGUGCCUUCGGGAACUCUGAGACAGGUGCUGCAUGGCUGUCGUCAGCUCGUGUUGUGAAAUGUUGGGUUAAGUCCCGCAACGAGCGCAACCCUUAUCCUUUGUGCCAGCGGUCCGGCCGGGAACUCAAAGGAUACUGCAGUGAUACCUGGAGAAGGUGGGGAUGACGUCAAGUCCAUUCAUGGCCUUACGAGUAGGCUACACACACGUGCCUCUCAG
rnacentral:rRNA from 1 species